AGAAUUAUAUGCCACGUGUAAUAUAUCUCUCUAGUCUCUUCACCUUCACAAUCACAUUUUGACGAAGAACAUUGUUUUAUCUUUCUGAGACCGGAAAAAGAAUUCUCCGGCGAAUUUUUGGAGCUGAAUCUGAUAGCCAAGGCUUUGGAUCCUUGAGUGGAUGUACUCCAUCUUUGAUUCAACGAUUUUGGUUUCUUGGUCUUGGUUUUUUGGAUUUUGAGAUAUCUCUGUAAAAUCGAUUCAAUCCAAAGCUCCUCUUGUUCUUGAAGAAAAGCCGAACAUCAAGAACUCAAAAAGCUUCAAGAACAGAUCACACAUUGCUAACUUGUUCUUGAAGAAAAGCCGAACAUCAAGAACUCAAAAAGCUUCAAGAACAGAUCACACAUUGCUAAUUUGACUAAGUCACAAUGCUUUUCUUGAUUUAUUGAUGAAGAUGCUUUGUUGUGAACAGGUGACACAAACAAGCGAACCCGGUUACUGUUUAUUACAAAGGAGAACCAGAAACAGAUGGUGUCUUGUUCAAUUCUUUUGAAACUCGCGGGCUUGGGGGAUGGUUGUAACUACGCGAAUUGGCAGCUUCAGG